CUAUUGACUUGCAAACUUGGCUAAUUGCCAUAACAAACAAUUCGAAUUGCUUAAAGAGCGUAAAGAGUCGGACCGUCAGGCACGUCUUUGUAGUGCUUUGGGCAGGUUGUUUUCGCUUGUUGCUGUGCGAUUUUGUUAUUUGCAUUUGGAACGCGUCGAGCCUUAACGUUUCUGAUCAGCUUGUUGGCAGCUGGCACUGCUGUGUCAUUCCGCCAACCUUGCGGCGAGUUUGCCCUGCCUUGAGCCGACUUCUUUGAAGCCCUAUACUUUUAACGGCUGUGCCACGAAAUGCCAACUGGGAUGUGGCUGCCAAACUGACUAUGUGUACGGCAUUCCUUGAAUUGUGUUUCCUUCUAGAAAUGUAACGAAAAUUUGAGGCGUUUGAAAUAUGAUCAAAUUCGAUAAAGCCAUUUAAGUAUUAGGCGUGACUCUUUUGAAACUAUAAAUAUUUUGAAUAUUUUGGUA